rnacentral:lncRNA from 1 species
UUUGAUGCUUUCUUAACGCCGUUAACCUCGAUGCACUUUUUCGCUCGAAACAAAACGGCAAGAAAAUCAUGUGGGCCCCACGGCCUUACACUUGGAUUGGCCGCGAAAAGGAUAUAUAGAAACGAGAGUGAUGUACUGACGGGUGCGAUCAUACCAGCACUAAUGCACCGGAUCCCAUCAGAACUCCGCAGUUAAGCGUGCUUGGGCGAGAGUAGUACUAGGAUGGGUGACCUCCCGGGAAGUCCUCGUGUUGCACCCCUUUUUAUUUUUUAAUUUUUUUUUAGCCUAAAACGAGUCUAAACUUGAAAACCUCAUAACUUUUGAACCGUGAGGAACUACGUCGCCCAUAGCACCAUUUCGGAGAGCCCCAGAAACCAUAAUGGGGCGGUGAAUAGGGGGCGCAAUUUUUCGGGCUCAAAUUCAGCCGUUUUGACCCUCAAACGGGCUGCGGAAAGUUAUGGCACGUAAAAAAGAUCGAAAGCGGAUUCUCAAGGUGUUUUUGAUGCUUUCUUAACGCCGUUAACCUCGAUGCACUUUUUCGCUCGAAACAAAACGGCAAGAAAAUCAUGCGCGCCCCACGGCCUUACACUUGGAUUGGCCGCGAAAAGGAUAUAUAGAAACGAGAGUGAUGUACUGACGGGUGCGAUCAUACCAGCACUAAUGCACCGGAUCCCAUCAGAACUCCGCAGUUAAGCGUGCUUGGGCGAGAGUAGUACUAGGAUGGGUGACCUCCCGGGAAGUCCUCGUGUUGCACCCCUUUUUAUUUUUUAUUUUUUUUUUAGCCUAAAACGAGUCUAAACUUGAAAACCUCAUAACUUUUGAACCGUGAGGAACUACGUCGCCCAUAGCACCAUUUCGGAAGAGCCCCAGAAACCAUAAUGGGCGGUGAAUAGGGGGCGCAAUUUUUCGGGCUCAAAUUCAGCCGUUUUGACCCUCAAACGGGCUGCGGAAAGUUAUGGCACGUAAAAAAGAUCGAAAGCGGAUUCUCAAGGUGUUUUUGAUGCUUUCUUAACGCCGUUAACCUCGAUGCACUUUUUCGCUCGAAACAAAACGGCAAGAAAAUCAUGCGCGCCCCACGGCCUUACACUUGGAUUGGCCGCGAAAAGGAUAUAUAGAAACGAGAGUGAUGUACUGACGGGUGCGAUCAUACCAGCACUAAUGCACCGGAUCCCAUCAGAACUCCGCAGCUAAGCGUGCUUGGGCGAGAGUAGUACUAGGAUGGGUGACCUCCCGGGAAGUCCUCGUGUUGCACCCCUUUUUAUUUUUUAAUUUUUUUUUUUGCCUAAAACGAGUCUAAACUUGAAAACCUCAUAACUUUUGAACCGUGAGGAACUACGUCGCCCAUAGCACCAUUUCGGAGAGCCCCAGAAACCAUAAUGGGCGGUGAAUAGGGGGCGCAAUUUUUCGGGCUCAAAUUCAGCCGUUUUGACCCUCAAACGGGCUGCGGAAAGUUAUGGCACGUAAAAAAGAUCGAAAGCGGAUUCUCAAGGUGUUUUUGAUGCUUUCUUAACGCCGUUAACCUCGAUGCACUUUUUCGCUCGAAACAAAACGGCAAGAAAAUCAUGCGCGCCCCACGGCCUUACACUUGGAUUGGCCGCGAAAAGGAUAUAUAGAAACGAGAGUGAUGUACUGACGGGUGCGAUCAUACCAGCACUAAUGCACCGGAUCCCAUCAGAACUCCGCAGUUAAGCGUGCUUGGGCGAGAGUAGUACUAGGAUGGGUGACCUCCCGGGAAGUCCUCGUGUUGCACCCCUUUUUAUUUUUUAAUUUUUUUUUAGCCUAAAACGAGUCUAAACUUGAAAACCUCAUAACUUUUGAACCGUGAGGAACUACGUCGCCCAUAGCACCAUUUCGGAGAGCCCCAGAAACCAUAAUGGGCGGUGAAUAGGGGGCGCAAUUUUUCGGGCUCAAAUUCAGCCGUUUUGACCCUCAAACGGGCUGCGGAAAGUUAUGGCACGUAAAAAAGAUCGAAAGCGGAUUCUCAAGGUGUUUUUGAUGCUUUCUUAACGCCGUUAACCUCGAUGCACUUUUUCGCUCGAAACAAAACGGCAAGAAAAUCAUGCGCGCCCCACGGCCUUACACUUGGAUUGGCCGCGAAAAGGAUAUAUAGAAACGAGAGUGAUGUACUGACGGGUGCGAUCAUACCAGCACUAAUGCACCGGAUCCCAUCAGAACUCCGCAGUUAAGCGUGCUUGGGCGAGAGUAGUACUAGGAUGGGUGACCUCCCGGGAAGUCCUCGUGUUGCACCCCUUUUUAUUUUUUAAUUUUUUUUAGCCUAAAACGAGUCUAAACUUGAAAACCUCAUAACUUUUGAACCGUGAGGAACUACGUCGCCCAUAGCACCAUUUCGGAGAGCCCCAGAAACCAUAAUGGGCGGUGAAUAGGGGGCGCAAUUUUUCGGGCUCAAAUUCAGCCGUUUUGACCCUCAAACGGGCUGCGGAAAGUUAUGGCACGUAAAAAAGAUCGAAAGCGGAUUCUCAAGGUGUUUUUGAUGCUUUCUUAACGCCGUUAACCUCGAUGCACUUUUUCGCUCGAAACAAAACGGCAAGAAAAUCAUGCGCGCCCACGGCCUUACACUUGGAUUGGCCGCGAAAAGGAUAUAUAGAAACGAGAGUGAUGUACUGACGGGUGCGAUCAUACCAGCACUAAUGCACCGGAUCCCAUCAGAACUCCGCAGUAAGCGUGCUUGGGCGAGAGUAGUACUAGGAUGGGUGACCUCCCGGGAAGUCCUCGUGUUGCACCCCUUUUUAUUUUUUAAUUUUUUUUUAGCCUAAAACGAGUCUAAACUUGAAAACCUCAUAACUUUUGAACCGUGAGGAACUACGUCGCCCAUAGCACCAUUUCGGAGAGCCCCAGAAACCAUAAUGGGCGGUGAAUAGGGGGCGCAAUUUUUCGGGCUCAAAUUCAGCCGUUUUGACCCUCAAACGGGCUGCGGAAAGUUAUGGCACGUAAAAAAGAUCGAAAGCGGAUUCUCAAGGUGUUUUUGAUGCUUUCUUAACGCCGUUAACCUCGAUGCACUUUUUCGCUCGAAACAAAACGGCAAGAAAAUCAUGCGCGCCCCACGGCCUUACACUUGGAUUGGCCGCGAAAAGGAUAUAUAGAAACGAGAGUGAUGUACUGACGGGUGCGAUCAUACCAGCACUAAUGCACCGGAUCCCAUCAGAACUCCGCAGUUAAGCGUGCUUGGGCGAGAGUAGUACUAGGAUGGGUGACCUCCCGGGAAGUCCUCGUGUUGCACCCCUUUUUAUUUUUAAUUUUUUUUUAGCCUAAAACGAGUCUAAACUUGAAAACCUCAUAACUUUUGAACCGUGAGGAACUACGUCGCCCAUAGCACCAUUUCGGAAAGCCCCAGAAACCAUAAUGGGCGGUGAAUAGGGGGCGCAAUUUUUCGGGCUCAAAUUCAGCCGUUUUGACCCUCAAACGGGCUGCGGAAAGUUAUGGCACGUAAAAAAGAUCGAAAGCGGAUUCUCAAGGUGUUUUUGAUGCUUUCUUAACGCCGUUAACCUCGAUGCACUUUUUCGCUCGAAACAAAACGGCAAGAAAAUCAUGCGCGCCCCACGGCCUUACACUUGGAUUGGCCGCGAAAAGGAUAUAUAGAAACGAGAGUGAUGUACUGACGGGUGCGAUCAUACCAGCACUAAUGCACCGGAUCCCAUCAGAACUCCGCAGUUAAGCGUGCUUGGCGCGAGAGUAGUACUAGGAUGGGUGACCUCCCGGGAAGUCCUCGUGUUGCACCCCUUUUUAUUUUUUAAUUUUUUUUUGCCUAAAACGAGUCUAAACUUGAAAACCUCAUAACUUUUGAACCGUGAGGAACUACGUCGCCCAUAGCACCAUUUCGGAGAGCCCCAGAAACCAUAAUGGGCGGUGAAUAGGGGGCGCAAUUUUUCGGGCUCAAAUUCAGCCGUUUUGACCCUCAAACGGGCUGCGGAAAGUUAUGGCACGUAAAAAAGAUCGAAAGCGGAUUCUCAAGGUGUUUUUGAUGCUUUCUUAACGCCGUUAACCUCGAUGCACUUUUUCGCUCGAAACAAAACGGCAAGAAAAUCAUGCGCGCCCACGGCCUUACACUUGGAUUGGCCGCGAAAAGGAUAUAUAGAAACGAGAGUGAUGUACUGACGGGUGCGAUCAUACCAGCACUAAUGCACCGGAUCCCAUCAGAACUCCGCAGUUAAGCGUGCUUGGGCGAGAGUAGUACUAGGAUGGGUGACCUCCCGGGAAGUCCUCGUGUUGCACCCCUUUUAUUUUUUAAUUUUUUUUUGCCUAAAACGAGUCUAAACUUGAAAACCUCAUAACUUUUGAACCGUGAGGAACUACGUCGCCCAUAGCACCAUUUCGGAGAGCCCCAGAAACCAUAAUGGGCGGGUGAAUAGGGGGCGCAAUUUUUCGGGCUCAAAUUCAGCCGUUUUGACCCUCAAACGGGCUGCGGAAAGUUAUGGCACGUAAAAAAGAUCGAAAGCGGAUUCUCAAGGUGUUUUUGAUGCUUUCUUAACGCCGUUAACCUCGAUGCACUUUUUCGCUCGAAACAAAACGGCAAGAAAAUCAUGCGCGCCCCACGGCCUUACACUUGGAUUGGCCGCGAAAAGGAUAUAUAGAAACGAGAGUGAUGUACUGACGGGUGCGAUCAUACCAGCACUAAUGCACCGGAUCCCAUCAGAACUCCGCAGUUAAGCGUGCUUGGGCGAGAGUAGUACUAGGAUGGGUGACCUCCCGGGAAGUCCUCGUGUUGCACCCCUUUUUUUUUAAAUUUUUUUUUAGCCUAAAACGAGUCUAAACUUGAAAACCUCAUAACUUUUGAACCGUGAGGAACUACGUCGCCCAUAGCACCAUUUCGGAGAGCCCCAGAAACCAUAAUGGGCGGGGAAUAGGGGGCGCAAUUUUUCGGGCUCAAAUUCAGCCGUUUUGACCCUCAAACGGGCUGCGGAAAGUUAUGUCACGUAAAAAAGAUCGAAAGCGGAUUCUCAAGGUGUUUUUGAUGCUUUCUUAACGCCGUUAACCUCGAUGCACUUUUUCGCUCGAAACAAAACGGCAAGAAAAUCAUGCGCGCCCCACGGCCUUACACUUGGAUUGGCCGCGAAAAGGAUAUAUAGAAACGAGAGUGAUGUACUGACGGGUGCGAUCAUACCAGCACUAAUGCACCGGAUCCCAUCAGAACUCCGCAGUUAAGCGUGCUUGGGCGAGAGUAGUACUAGGAUGGGUGACCUCCCGGGAAGUCCUCGUGUUGCACCCCUUUUUAUUUUUUAAUUUUUUUUUGCCUAAAACGAGUCUAAACUUGAAAACCUCAUAACUUUUGAACCGUGAGGAACUACGUCGCCCAUAGCACCAUUUCGGAGAGCCCCAGAAACCAUAAUGGGCGGUGAAUAGGGGGCGCAAUUUUUCGGGCUCAAAUUCAGCCGUUUUGACCCUCAAACGGGCUGCGGAAAGUUAUGGCACGUAAAAAAGAUCGAAAGCGGAUUCUCAAGGUGUUUUUGAUGCUUUCUUAACGCCGUUAACCUCGAUGCACUUUUUCGCUCGAAACAAAACGGCAAGAAAAUCAUGCGCGCCCCACGGCCUUACACUUGGAUUGGCCGCGAAAAGGAUAUAUAGAAACGAGAGUGAUGUACUGACGGGUGCGAUCAUACCAGCACUAAUGCACCGGAUCCCAUCAGAACUCCGCAGUUAAGCGUGCUUGGGCGAGAGUAGUACUAGGAUGGGUGACCUCCCGGGAAGUCCUCGUGUUGCACCCCUUUUUUUUUUUAAUUUUUUUUUAGCCUAAAACGAGUCUAAACUUGAAAACCUCAUAACUUUUGAACCGUGAGGAACUACGUCGCCCAUAGCACCAUUUCGGAGAGCCCCAGAAACCAUAAUGGGCGGUGAAUAGGGGGCGCAAUUUUUCGGGCUCAAAUUCAGCCGUUUUGACCCUCAAACGGGCUGCGGAAAGUUAUGGCACGUAAAAAAGAUCGAAAGCGGAUUCUCAAGGUGUUUUUGAUGCUUUCUUAACGCCGUUAACCUCGAUGCACUUUUUCGCUCGAAACAAAACGGCAAGAAAAUCAUGCGCGCCCCACGGCCUUACACUUGGAUUGGCCGCGAAAAGGAUAUAUAGAAACGAGAGUGAUGUACUGACGGGUGCGAUCAUACCAGCACUAAUGCACCGGAUCCCAUCAGAACUCCGCAGUUAAGCGUGCUUGGGCGAGAGUAGUACUAGGAUGGGUGACCUCCCGGGAAGUCCUCGUGUUGCACCCCUUUUUAUUUUUUAAUUUUUUUUUAGCCUAAAACGAGUCUAAACUUGAAAACCUCAUAACUUUUGAACCGUGAGGAACUACGUCGCCCAUAGCACCAUUUCGGAAGCCCAGAAACCAUAAUGGGCGGUGAAUAGGGGGCGCAAUUUUUCGGGCUCAAAUUCAGCCGUUUUGACCCUCAAACGGGCUGCGGAAAGUUAUGGCACGUAAAAAAGAUCGAAAGCGGAUUCUCAAGGUGUUUUUGAUGCUUUCUUAACGCCGUUAACCUCGAUGCACUUUUUCGCUCGAAACAAAACGGCAAGAAAAUCAUGCGCGCCCCACGGCCUUACACUUGGAUUGGCCGCGAAAAGGAUAUAUAGAAACGAGAGUGAUGUACUGACGGGUGCGAUCAUACCAGCACUAAUGCACCGGAUCCCAUCAGAACUCCGCAGUUAAGCGUGCUUGGGCGAGAGUAGUACUAGGAUGGGUGACCUCCCGGGAAGUCCUCGUGUUGCACCCCUUUUUAUUUUUUAAUUUUUUUUUAGCCUAAAACGAGUCUAAACUUGAAAACCUCAUAACUUUUGAACCGUGAGGAACUACGUCGCCCAUAGCACCAUUUCGGAAGCCCCAGAAACCAUAAUGGGCGGUGAAUAGGGGGCGCAAUUUUUCGGGCUCAAAUUCAGCCGUUUUGACCCUCAAACGGGCUGCGGAAAGUUAUGGCACGUAAAAAAGAUCGAAAGCGGAUUCUCAAGGUUGUUUUGAUGCUUUCUUAACGCCGUUAACCUCGAUGCACUUUUUCGCUCGAAACAAAACGGCAAGAAAAUCAUGCGCGCCCCACGGCCUUACACUUGGAUUGGCCGCGAAAAGGAUAUAUAGAAACGAGAGUGAUGUACUGACGGGUGCGAUCAUACCAGCACUAAUGCACCGGAUCCCAUCAGAACUCCGCAGUUAAGCGUGCUUGGGCGAGAGUAGUACUAGGAUGGGUGACCUCCCGGGAAGUCCUCGUGUUGCACCCCUUUUUAUUUUUUAAUUUUUUUUUAGCCUAAAACGAGUCUAAACUUGAAAACCUCAUAACUUUUGAACCGUGAGGAACUACGUCGCCCAUAGCACCAUUUCGGAAGCCCCAGAAACCAUAAUGGGCGGUGAAUAGGGGGCGCAAUUUUUCGGGCUCAAAUUCAGCCGUUUUGACCCUCAAACGGGCUGCGGAAAGUUAUGGCACGUAAAAAAGAUCGAAAGCGGAUUCUCAAGGUGUUUUUGAUGCUUUCUUAACGCCGUUAACCUCGAUGCACUUUUUCGCUCGAAACAAAACGGCAAGAAAAUCAUGCGCGCCCCACGGCCUUACACUUGGAUUGGCCGCGAAAAGGAUAUAUAGAAACGAGAGUGAUGUACUGACGGGUGCGAUCAUACCAGCACUAAUGCACCGGAUCCCAUCAGAACUCCGCAGUUAAGCGUGCUUGGGCGAGAGUAGUACUAGGAUGGGUGACCUCCCGGGAAGUCCUCGUGUUGCACACCUUUUUAUUUUAUAAUUUUUUUUAGCCUAAAACGAGUCUAAACAUGAAAACCUCAUAAAUUUUGAACCGUGAGGAACUACGUCGCCCAUAGCACCAUUGAAAAAGCCCCAGAAACCAUAAUGGGCGGUGAAUAGGGGGCGCAAUGUUUCGGGCUGAAAUUCAGCCGUUUUGACCCUCAAACGGGCUGCGGAAAGUUAUGGCACGUAAAAAAGAUCGAAAGCGGAUUCUCAAGGUGUUUUUGAUGCUUUCUUAACGCCGUUAACCUCGAUGCACUUUUUCGCUCGAAACAAAACGGCAAGAAAAUCAUGCGCGCCCCACGGCCUUACACUUGGAUUGGCCGCGAAAAGGAUAUAUAGAAACGAGAGUGAUGUACUGACGGGUGCGAUCAUACCAGCACUAAUGCACCGGAUCCCAUCAGAACUCCGCAGUUAAGCGUGCUUGGGCGAGAGUAGUACUAGGAUGGGUGACCUCCCGGGAAGUCCUCGUGUUGCACCCCUUUUUAUUUUUUAAUUUUUUUUUAGCCUAAAACGAGUCUAAACUUGAAAACCUCAUAACUUUUGAACCUUGAGGAACUACGUCGCCCAUAGCACCAUUUCGGAAAGCCCCAUAAAACCAUAAUGGGCGGUGAAUAGGGGGCGCAAUUUUUCGGGCUCAAAUUCAGCCGUUUUGACCCUCAAACGGGCUGCGGAAAGUUAUGGCACGUAAAAAAGAUCGAAAGCGGAUUUUCAAGGUGUUUUUGAUGCUUUCUUAACGCCGUUAACCUCGAUGCACUUUUUCGCUCGAAACAAAACGGCAAGAAAAUCAUGCGCGCCCCACGGCCUUACACUUGGAUUGGCCGCGAAAAGGAUAUAUAGAAACGAGAGUGAUGUACUGACGGGUGCGAUCAUACCAGCACUAAUGCACCGGAUCCCAUCAGAACUCCGCAGUUAAGCGUGCUUGGGCGAGAGAGUAGUACUAGGAUGGGUGACCUCCCGGGAAGUCCUCGUGUUGCACCCCUUUUUAUUUUUUAAUUUUUUUUUAGCCUAAAACGAGUCUAAACUUGAAAACCUCAUAACUUUUGAACCGUGAGGAACUACGUCGCCCAUAGCACCAUUUCGGAGAGCCCCAGAAACCAUAAUGGGCGGUGAAUAGGGGGCGCAAUUUUUCGGGCUCAAAUUCAGCCGUUUUGACCCUCAAACGGGCUGCGGAAAGUUAUGGCACGUAAAAAAGAUCGAAAGCGGAUUCUCAAGGUGUUUUUGAUGCUUUCUUAACGCCGUUAACCUCGAUGCACUUUUUCGCUCGAAACAAAACGGCAAAAAAAAUCAUGUGGGCCCCACGGCCUUACACUUGGAUUGGCCGCGAAAAGGAUAUAUAGAAACGAGAGUGAUGUACUGACGGGUGCGAUCAUACCAGCACUAAUGCACCGGAUCCCAUCAGAACUCCGCAGUUAAGCGUGCUUGGGCGAGAGUAGUACUAGGAUGGGUGACCUCCCGGGAAGUCCUCGUGUUGCACCCCUUUUUAUUUUUUAAUUUUUUUUUUUGCCUAAAACGAGUCUAAACUUGAAAACCUCAUAACUUUUGAACCGUGAGGAACUACGUCGCCCAUAGCACCAUUUCGGAAAGCCCCAGAAACCAUAAUGGGCGGUGAAUAGGGGGCGCAAUUUUUCGGGCUCAAAUUCAGCCGUUUUGACCCUCAAACGGGCUGCGGAAAGUUAUGGCACGUAAAAAAGAUCGAAAGCGGAUUCUCAAGGUGUUUUGAUGCUUUCUUAACGCCGUUAACCUCGAUGCACUUUUUCGCUCGAAACAAAACGGCAAGAAAAUCAUGCGCGCCCCACGGCCUUACACUUGGAUUGGCCGCGAAAAGGAUAUAUAGAAACGAGAGUGAUGUACUGACGGGUGCGAUCAUACCAGCACUAAUGCACCGGAUCCCAUCAGAACUCCGCAGUUAAGCGUGCUUGGGCGAGAGUAGUACUAGGAUGGGUGACCUCCCGGGAAGUCCUUGUGUUGCACCCCUUUUAAUUUUUUAAUUUUUUUUUAGCCUAAAACGAGUCUAAACUUGAAAACCUCAUAACUUUUGAACCGUGAGGAACUACGUCGCCCAUAGCACCAUUUCGGAGAGCCCCAGAAACCAUAAUGGGCGGUGAAUAGGGGCGCAAUUUUUCGGGCUCAAAUUCAGCCGUUUUGACCCUCAAACGGGCUGCGGAAAGUUAUGGCACGUAAAAAAGAUCGAAAGCGGAUUCUCAAGGUGCUUUUGAUGCUUUCUUAACGCCGUUAACCUCGAUGCACUUUUUCGCUCGAAACAAAACGGCAAGAAAAUCAUGCGCGCCCCACGGCCUUACACUUGGAUUGGCCGCGAAAAGGAUAUAUAGAAACGAGAGUGAUGUACUGACGGGUGCGAUCAUACCAGCACUAAUGCACCGGAUCCCAUCAGAACUCCGCAGUUAAGCGUGCUUGGGCGAGAGUAGUACUAGGAUGGGUGACCUCCCGGGAAGUCCUCGUGUUGCACCCCUUUUAUUUUUUAAUUUUUUUUUGCCUAAAACGAGUCUAAACUUGAAAACCUCAUAACUUUUGAACCGUGAGGAACUACGUCGCCCAUAGCACCAUUUCGGAGAGCCCCAGAAACCAUAAUGGGCGGUGAAUAGGGGGCGCAAUUUUUCGGGCUCAAAUUCAGCCGUUUUGACCCUCAAACGGGCUGCGGGGAAAGUUAUGGCACGUAAAAAAGAUCGAAAGCGGAUUCUCAAGGUGCUUUUGAUGCUUUCUUAACGCCGUUAACCUCGAUGCACUUUUUCGCUCGAAACAAAACGGCAAGAAAAUCAUGCGCGCCCCACGGCCUUACACUUGGAUUGGCCGCGAAAAGGAUAUAUAGAAACGAGAGUGAUGUACUGACGGGUGCGAUCAUACCAGCACUAAUGCACCGGAUCCCAUCAGAACUCCGCAGUAAGCGUGCUUGGGCGAGAGUAGUACUAGGAUGGGUGACCUCCCGGGAAGUCCUCGUGUUGCACCCCUUUUUAUUUUUUAAUUUUUUUUUAGCCUAAAACGAGUCUAAACUUGAAAACCUCAUAACUUUUGAACCGUGAGGAACUACGUCGCCCAUAGCACCAUUUCGGAAAGCCCCAGAAACCAUAAUGGGCGGUGAAUAGGGGGCGCAAUUUUUCGGGCUCAAAUUCAGCCGUUUUGACCCUCAGACGGGCUGCGGAAAGUUAUGGCACGUAAAAAAGAUCGAAAGCGGAUUCUCAAGUGUUUUGUGUGCUUUCUUAACGCCGUUAACCUCGAUGCACUUUUUCGCUCGAAACAAAACGGCAAGAAAAUCAUGCGCGCCCCACGGCCUUACACUUGGAUUGGCCGCGAAAAGGAUAUAUAGAAACGAGAGUGAUGUACUGACGGGUGCGAUCAUACCAGCACUAAUGCACCGGAUCCCAUCAGAACUCCGCAGUUAAGCGUGCUUGGGCGAGAGUAGUACUAGGAUGGGUGACCUCCCGGGAAGUCCUCGUGUUGCACCCCUUUUUUUUUUUAAUUUUUUUUUAGCCUAAAACGAGUCUAAACUUGAAAACCUCAUAACUUUUGAACCGUGAGGAACUACGUCGCCCAUAGCACCAUUUCGGAAAGCCCCAGAAACCAUAAUGGGCGGUGAAUAGGGGGCGCAAUUUUUCGGGCUCAAAUUCAGCCGUUUUGACCCUCAAACGGGCUGCGGAAAGUUAUGGCACGUAAAAAAGAUCGAACUAUGGAUUCUGAAGGUGUUUUUGAUGCUUUCUUAACGCCGUUAACCUCGAUGCACUUUUUCGCUCGAAACAAAACGGCAAGAAAAUCAUGCGCGCCCCACGGCCUUACACUUGGAUUGGCCGCGAAAAGGAUAUAUAGAAACAAGAGUGAUGUACUGUCGGGUGCGAUCAUACCAGCACUAAUGCACCGGAUCCCAUCAGAACUCCGCAGUUAAGCGUGCUUGGGCGAGAGUAGUACUAGGAUGGGUGACCUCCCGGGAAGUCCUCGUGUUGCACCCCUUUUUUUUUUUAAUUUUUUUUUGCCUAAAACGAGUCUAAACUGAAAACCCAUAACUUUUGAACCGUGAGGAACUACGUCGCCCAUAGCACCAUUUCGGAAGAGCCCCAGAAACCAUAAUGGGCGGUGAAUAGGGGGCGCAAUUUUUCGGGCUCAAAUUCAGCCGUUUUGACCCUCAAACGGGCUGCGGAAAGUUAUGGCACGUAAAAAAGAUCGAAAGCGGAUUCUCAAGGUGUUUUUGAUGCUUUCUUAACGCCGUUAACCUCGAUGCACUUUUUUUCGCUCGAAACAAAACGGCAAGAAAAUCAUGCGCGCCCCACGGCCUUACACUUGGAUUGGCCGCGAAAAGGAUAUAUAGAAACGAGAGUGAUGUACUGACGGGUGCGAUCAUACCAGCACUAAUGCACCGGAUCCCAUCAGAACUCCGCAGUCAAGCGUGCUUGGGCGAGAGUAGUACUAGGAUGGGUGACCUCCCGGGAAGUCCUCGUGUUGCACCCCUUUUUAUUUUUUUAAUUUUUUUUUAGCCUAAAACGAGUCUAAACUUGAAAACCUCAUAACUUUUGAACCGUGAGGAACUACGUCGCCCAUAGCACCAUUUCGGAGAGCCCCAGAAACCAUAAUGGGCGGUGAAUAGGGGGCGCAAUUUUUCGGGCUCAAAUUCAGCCGUUUUGACCCUCAAACGGGCUGCGGAAAGUUAUGGCACGUAAAAAAGAUCGAAAGCGGAUUCUCAAGUGUUUUUGAUGCUUUCUUAACGCCGUUAACCUCGAUGCACUUUUUCGCUCGAAACAAAACGGCAAGAAAAUCAUGCGCGCCCCACGGCCUUACACUUGGAUUGGCGCGAAAAGGAUAUAUAGAAACGAGAGUGAUGUACUGACGGGUGCGAUCAUACCAGCACUAAUGCACCGGAUCCCAUCAGAACUCCGCAGUUAAGCGUGCUUGGGCGAGAGUAGUACUAGGAUGGGUGACCUCCCGGGAAGUCCUCGUGUGUUGCACCCCUUUUUAUUUUUAAUUUUUUUUAGCCUAAAACGAGUCUAAACUUGAAAACCUCAUAACUUUUGAACCGUGAGGAACUACGUCGCCCAUAGCACCAUUUCGGAAAGCCCCAGAAACCAUAAUGGGCGGUGAAUAGGGGGCGCAAUUUUUCGGGCUCAAAUUCAGCCGUUUUGACCCUCAAACGGGCUGCGGAAAGUUAUGGCACGUAAAAAAGAUCGAAAGCGGAUUCUCAAGGUGUUUUUGAUGCUUUCUUAACGCCGUUAACCUCGAUGCACUUUUUCGCUCGAAACAAAACGGCAAGAAAAUCAUGCGCGCCCACGGCCUUACACUUGGAUUGGCCGCGAAAAGGAUAUAUAGAAAGAAACGAGUGAUGUACUGACGGGUGCGAUCAUACCAGCACUAAUGCACCGGAUCCCAUCAGAACUCCGCAGUUAAGCGUGCUUGGGCGAGAGUAGUACUAGGAUGGGUGACCUCCCGGGAAGUCCUCGUGUUGCACCCCUUUUUAUUUUUUAAUUUUUUUUUAGCCUAAACGAGUCUAAACUUGAAAACCUCAUAACUUUUGAACCGUGAGGAACUACGUCGCCCAUAGCACCAUUUCGGAAAGCCCCAGAAACCAUAAUGGGCGGGUGAAUAGGGGGCGCAAUUUUUCGGGCUCAAAUUCAGCCGUUUUGACCCUCAAACGGGCUGCGGAAAGUUAUGGCACGUAAAAAAGAUCGAAAGCGGAUUCUCAAGGUGUUUUGAUGCUUUCUUAACGCCGUUAACCUCGAUGCACUUUUUCGCUCGAAACAAACGGCAAGAAAAUCAUGCGCGCCCCACGGCCUUACACUUGGAUUGGCCGCGAAAAGGAUAUAUAGAAACGAGAGUGAUGUACUGACGGGUGCGAUCAUACCAGCACUAAUGCACCGGAUCCAUCAGAACUCCGCAGUUAAGCGUGCUUGGGCGAGAGUAGUACUAGGAUGGGUGACCUCCCGGGAAGUCCUCGUGUUGCACCCCUUUUUAUUUUUUAAUUUUUUUUUAGCCUAAAACGAGUCUAAACUUGAAAACCCCAUAACUUUUGAACCGUGAGGAACUACGUCGCCCAUAGCACCAUUUCGGAAAGCCCCAGAAACCAUAAUGGGCGGUGAAUAGGGGGCGCAAUUUUUCGGGCUCAAAUUCAGCCGUUUUGACCCUCAAACGGGCUGCGGAAAGUUAUGGCAGAAAAAAAAAGACCGAAAGCGGAUUUUCAAGGUGUUUUUGAUGCUUUCUUAACGCCGUUAACCUCGAUGCACUUUUUCGCUCGAAACAAAACGGCAAGAAAAUCAUGCGCGCCCCACGGCCUUACACUUGGAUUGGCCGCGAAAAGGAUAUAUAGAAACGAGAGUGAUGUACUGUCGGGUGCGAUCAUACCAGCACUAAUGCACCGGAUCCCAUCAGAACUCCGCAGUUAAGCGUGCUUGGGCGAGAGUAGUACUAGGAUGGGUGACCUCCCGGGAAGUCCUCGUGUUGCACCCCUUUUUAUUUUUUAAUUUUUUUAGCCUAAAACGAG